AAUAGAUACCCUGGUAGUCCACGCCGUAAACGAUGAGUGCUAAGUGUUAGAGGGUUUCCGCCCUCUAGUGCUGCAGCUAACGCAUUAAGCACUCCGCCUGGGGAGUACGGUCGCAAGACUGAAACUCAAAGGAAUUGACGGGGGCCCGCACAAGCGGUGGAGCAUGUGGUUUAAUUCGAAGCAACGCGAAGAACCUUACCAGGUCUUGACAUCCUCUGACAACUCUAGAGAUAGAGCGUUCCCCUUCGGGGGACAGAGUGACAGGUGGUGCAUGGUUGUCGUCAGCUCGUGUCGUGAGAUGUUGGGUUAAGUCCCGCAACGAGCGCAACCCUUGAUCUUAGUUGCCAGCAUUCAGUUGGGCACUCUAAGGUGACUGCCGGUGACAAACCGGAGGAAGGUGGGGAUGACGUCAAAUCAUCAUGCCCCUUAUGACCUGGGCUACACACGUGCUACAAUGGAUGGUACAAAGGGCUGCAAGACCGCGAGGUCAAGCCAAUCCCAUAAAACCAUUCUCAGUUCGGAUUG
rnacentral:rRNA from 1 species